GACCGGGUGCUUGCCCUUCUGUGAAGCCAUCUUGGGGGACAGGGGGAAAGGGCUUCUAGCCCUGGACCGUAGGCCAUGCUCGGCACAGAGCAAGAUUUUCAUGGAGAAUUAUUGGAUGGGAAUGAAGAGUAUUGACCUGGGGACACGGCCUGUUUCUGACCAUCUCUCCCUGUUCCAUGAGGUCCUGAGGGAGCUGAGUCACAAUGCUCUGUGAGACACAUCUCUCUCCCUCUCUCCCUCCCUCCGUCCCUCUCUCCAUCGCUCUGUCUCUCACGCACACACACACAAUGUCAGUGGGUGGGCAGGUGACAGGGCCGGGCUGCCCAGAGUUCUUAUCCCUCUGACCACUAUACCCUCUCUUCUUGGGAUCUGUGAGGAACAAACUAUAUUUUCAACAGCAGUUGUCUCCUGAUCUAUGGGUCUCACCACACCUAAAUUACAAUAAAAGUAUACCGUAAAACACCCUCUGAACCUCAGCUUCCCUGGCGGGAAUCAGAUACGAUGCUGCUUCAAAAAGCCUGGAAACCACAGGGGACUCAGAUCUUCAAAGAGAGAAGGCACACAUCCGAAGCCAAAGUCGGUCCUUUGAGGACACCACCGUCGGAAGGCCUCCUCGUGACACCUCUUUGGAGUGGCGGAGGCCAGAAUGACCACCCCCGUCUCCAGAUAGGCUCUUCGGCAGCCCACCUCUCGGCCCAGCAAAGCCUGACAAAUCCUGCCUGCAAACACGCGUGUCUCAGGCUCGGAAUAGCCCUCCCCAAGUAAGAGAAAAACCCUCACGAGGUGAUGCCAGGCCGGCCCUUCCAGGAAGUCUUCCUAUUUUAACCAUCAACUCUGCAAAUGCCUGAACCUAAAGGAUUCUGGGAGGCCGACCUGGGCUUCACCCAUCGGGUGCAGAUAAGAGCCUGAGGCCCGGAAGAGACGUGAAAUGCUGCUGCCCCCUCGCGCAGUCAGGAAGCCUUGCGAUCCAAGGUCCCCGCUCCGGUUUGGCAUGGAGGAUAGGGGGCGGAGGGGGUUGGAUCGGGGGAGGGGGUUGGUCGUUCUCAUGCUGAUUUUACUGGGGCAAGGUUGCAGGGUGUCUCAGUGCCAUGUACGAGGCUGCUGUCUCUUCCAGGGUUUUCCUGGCCACAAGCUUGUCCUCUCAUUCCUCCCGAGUCUUCUGUCGGUCCCUGAGCUCUGGGACCAGGUCCGGGCCCUCCCCCUGCCCUCUUGCCUUCACCGGGCACAGCCUCGGGAGCCCCCACUGACUCUCCUGACCCGAUAUGUGGGUCCAUCAUUCUGCCUCCAUUGCACACCCACCCCAGCUACACUCUCCUUCUGGGCUGAGGGGAGGCCUGAUCCUGCCCCUAACUUCCCAGCUGACAAAGGAGUAUCACAGAGGAGCUAAAUGUGACCCAAGGUCACAGCCGCUCCUGCGGAGUUGGGACCAGCUCUGGACCCCUGACUGCUGUUCAUGAUUCCUCCUCCGCAGAAGCCAACAAGGGACUUUGUGACAUCACUGUGACCCUUCCCCUGUCUUGAACCUCCCCCUGGGGACCCUGACCACUUGGAAGACAUCCCAUUUUCUGGAGUGGGCAGUGGAGACUUACUCCCGCCCCCCCCACCCCCAAGAUGAUCAUUUUCUCAGAACCUUUGAUGUACAGGCCCUGGCAGCUCCCCAAGCUCACACUGCCUGGUCUUUCCCACGACCCCACCUAUUUCUGGAUACCCCCAGGCCUGUCUGUACAGCUGUGCAGGUUGUGCACUGCUCCCCCAGCACAGCCCCAUGCUGCAGUCCUAAUUGUCACUCACUAGGCAUCGCCAUGCGUCCUACGCGACGCGGCUGCCAACUACAGGAAGUGCUACAGCAGCAGACCAGAGAGCCUCCCCUCUCCUCCACUGCACCCCCCCCCCCCCCGACACACACACACCCCUGCCCCAGCCCCAGCCACUAAACUCCCUCAAGCAACCAGGGAUGGACCUCCAGGACUGACAGGAAAGGUCCCCCAAGCGGGGGAAAUCUUGCUCGGCCGUAAUUAAACUCCGUCACUGCACAGGCUGCAGACAAAAGGGAGCCCGUAAUGGGAUUAGAAUUGUCAUAAAUUAAAAUCAUAAAUUCAAUAAACGCCUUAUCGGCCUCCCUCUGGAAGUGGCUGGCCCAUGGCGGCUGGCUUUGAUUGGCAUAAUGGAGGGGCCA